UUUGUCAGAAGUGUGAGGAUUAGUUGAGAGGAUGGGACUCAUUUUAUUCUGUGUGCUGGAUUUAUUCUGGCUGUAUACACUCCUCUGCACUGGACACACUCAAGGAGCUGUUCUGACCAUUGAUCCUAACUGGUCGACUUUUUAUACUGGAGAGUCUGUUACCUUCAUAUGUGACAUGAAGGAAGGAAAAAACACUGACUGGUAUUACAAAAUCAUCAAGGAUGGUCAAGAAUUCAUUUCCUACAACUCAAAUUCACGCUACACAUUAAAACCUUUACAUAUAAGUUAUAAAGGUGAAUUCCAGUGCUGUGGUCGUCUGAAGACUUCACGUUAUUCAAAGUGCAGUAAUAAGGUCUCUUUA